GUUUCAGCAGCCGCGGUAAGACGGAGGGUGCAAGCGUUGCUCGGAAUCACUGGGCGUAAAGGGUGCGUAGGCGGUCUCUCAAGUCUGACGUGAAAGCCCAGGGCUCAGCCCUGGAAGUGCGCCAGAAACUGAGAGGCUUGAGUGCCGGAGGGGAGAGUGGAAUUCCCGGUGUAGCGGUGAAAUGCGUAGAUAUCGGGAGGAAUACCGGUGGCGAAAGCGACUCUCUGGACGGCAACUGACGCUGAGGCACGAAAGCGUGGGGAGCAAACAGGAUUAGAUACCCUCGUAGUCC
rnacentral:rRNA from 1 species